UACGGGAGGCAGCAGUGGGGAAUAUUGGACAAUGGGCGAAAGCCUGAUCCAGCCAUGCCGCGUGUGUGAAGAAGGUCUUCGGAUUGUAAAGCACUUUAAGUUGGGAGGAAGGGUUGCUGAUUAAUACUCUGCAAUUUUGACGUUACCGACAGAAUAAGCACCGGCUAACUCUGUGCCAGCAGCCGCGGUAAUACAGAGGGUGCAAGCGUUAAUCGGAAUUACUGGGCGUAAAGCGCGCGUAGGUGGUUUGUUAAGUUGGAUGUGAAAGCCCCGGGCUCAACCUGGGAACUGCAUCCAAAACUGGCAAGCUAGAGUAGGGCAGAGGGUGGUGGAAUUUCCUGUGUAGCGGUGAAAUGCGUAGAUAUAGGAAGGAACACCAGUGGCGAAGGCGACCACCUGGGCUCAUACUGA
rnacentral:rRNA from 1 species